rnacentral:rRNA from 1 species
CGACCUCGGGCUGUACGGGACUACCCGGUGGAUUUAAGCAUAUUAAUAAGCGGAGGGAAAACAAA